rnacentral:rRNA from 1 species
CCUACGGGGCGCUGCAGUGAGGAAUAUUGGUCAAUGGGCGCGAGCCUGAACCAGCCAAGUCGCGUGAGGGAAGACGGUCCUAUGGAUUGUAAACUGCUUUUAUACGGGAAUAACGCGCCUUACGUGUAGGGCUUUGCAUGUACCGUAUGAAUAAGGACCGGCUAAUUCCGUGCCAGCAGCCGCGGUAAUACGGAAGGUCCGGGCGUUAUCCGGAUUUAUUGGGUUUAAAGGGCGCGUAGGCCGCAUGUCAAGCGUGCUGUGAAAUGUCCGGGCUCAACCCGGGCCUUGCAGCGCGAACUGGCGUGCUUGAGUCCGCGGAAAGCAGGCGGAAUUCGUCGUGUAGCGGUGAAAUGCUUAGAUAUGACGAAGAACCCCGAUUGCGAAGGCAGCUUGCUGCAGCGGAACUGACGCUGAUGCUCGAAAGCGCAGGUAUCGAACAGGAUUAGAUACCCCAGUAGUC